rnacentral:rRNA from 1 species
AGAGUUUGAUUCUGGCUCAGAACGAACGCUGGCGGCGUGGAUAAGACAUGCAAGUCGAACGAAGAAUAUGUUAGUUUACUAUUAUAUUUUUAGUGGCGGACGGGUUAGUAACACGUGAAUUAUUUACCUUAUAGAGGGGGAUAGCCCAGGGAAACUUGGAUUAAUACCGCAUAAUAUCGUAAGAUCAAAGGGGGCUUUUAGCUCUCGCUAUGAGAUAAGUUCGCGGCCUAUCAGCUAGAUGGUGAGGUAACGGCUCACCAUGGCAAUGACGGGUAUCUGGUUUGAGAGGACGAUCAGAAACACUGGAACUGAGACACGGUCCAGACACCUACGGGUGGCAGCAGUCGAGAAUCAUUCACAAUGGACGAAAGUCUGAUGAUGCAACGCCGCGUGGAGGAUGAAGGCCUUAGGGUCGUAAACUCCUGUCAUCUAGGAGCAAGAUAUAUACGUUAAUAGCGUGUAUAUUUGAUAGUACUAGAAGAGGAAGGGACGGCUAACUUCGUGCCAGCAGCCGCGGUAAUACGAAGGUCCCAAGCGUUGUUCGGAAUUACUGGGCGUAAAGGGUGCGUAGGCGGUAUGGAAAGUUGGAUGUGAAAGGCAAGGGCUCAACCCUUGGACUGCAUUCGAAACUCCCAUACUGGAGUACUGGAGAGGAAACUGGAAUUCUCGGUGUAGCAGUGAAAUGCGUAGAUAUCGAGAGGAACACCAAUGGCGAAAGCAAGUUUCUGGACAGUUACUGACGCUGAGGCACGAAGGCUAGGGUAGCGAAAGGGAUUAGAUACCCCUGUAGUCCUAGCAGUAAACGAUGUGAGCUUGGUGUAGGCGAUUCGACCUCGUCUGUGCCGGAGUUAACGCGUUAAGCUCACCGCCUGGGGAGUACGGCCGCAAGGCUAAAACUCAAAGAAAUUGACGGGGACCCGCACAAGCGGUGGAGUAUGUGGCUUAAUUCGAUGCAACGCGAAGAACCUUACCUAGGCUUGACAUGUAUUGCUAAGCUGUUGAAAGGCAGUGACUCUUUUUGAGACCUUACACAGGUGCUGCAUGGCUGUCGUCAGCUCGUGUCGUGAGAUGUUUGGUUAAGUCCAGCAACGAGCGCAACCCCUGUGGUUAGUUACCAGCACGUAAUGGUGGGAACUCUAGCCAGACUGCCCAGAUCAACUGGGAGGAAGGUGGGGAUGACGUCAAGUCAGUAUGGCCCUUACGCCUAGGGCUGCACACGUACUACAAUGCUUAGUACAAUGAGAACCGAAUCCGCGAGGUAGAGGAAAUCUAUAAAACUAAGCUCAGUUCGGAUUGGAGGCUGCAACUCGCCUCCAUGAAGUCGGAAUCGCUAGUAAUGGCAUAUCAGCAACGGUGCCGUGAAUACGUUCCCGGGUCUUGUACACACCGCCCGUCACAUCAUGGAAGCUGGUCGCACCCGAAGUACAUAAGCUAACUUUAUUGAAGCAGUGUCCUAAGGUGUAGCUAGUAACUGGGAUGAAGUCGUAACAAGGUAGCCGUAGGGGAACCUGCGGC